UGUCAAAGCUUGGGACAGUGAAACAGUGAAAGAGAGAAUAAGGCAGGCAUUCAAAGGAAAGAUUCCAGCUGAUGUCAGCAUGCAAUUCCUUAUGGCUUGUGGCAAUAAACUGGUUGUCCCAACGCUAACUGAAGGACAGGAGCUCAACGGGAGUAUGAUACAAAAAGUGUACAGAUUGAAGGCUCUGUACAUCAGGCCAUCAAGACCUAUUGAACUUGAAGAUUCAGAUGUGGAUUGCAUUCCAGUUGAUGACAUGAGUGAAGAAGAAAAUGUCAAUAACAUGCAAAACCUGAUAUUGAUGCCGUAUCACCAGUGAUGGACAAUCACAAGCCUUCUACUU